ensembl:snRNA U6 U6 spliceosomal RNA
GUGCUGACUUCCACAGCACAUAUAGUAAAAUUGGAAUGAUACAGAGAUUAGCAUGACCCCUACACGAGGAUGACACAAAUUAGUGAAGCGUUCCAUAUUAAA